GACGAACGCUGGCGGCGUGCUUAACACAUGCAAGUCGAACGGAAAGGCCCUUCGUGGUUCUCGAGUGGCGAACGGGAGAGUAACACGUGGGUGAUCUGCACUGCACUUUGGGAUAAGCCUGGGAAACUGGGUCUAAUACCGAAUAUGAUCAUCGGCUUCAUGGUCGGUGGGGGAAAGCUUUUGCGGUGUGGGAUGGGCCCGCGGCCUAUCAGCUUGUUGGUGGGGUAAUGGCCUACCAAGGCGACGACGGGUAGCCGGCCUGAGAGGGUGACCGGCCACACUGGGACUGAGAUACGGCCCAGACUCCUACGGGAGGCAGCAGUGGGGAAUAUUGCACAAUGGGCGGAAGCCUGAUGCAGCGACGCCGCGUGAGGGAUGACGGCCUUCGGGUUGUAAACCUCUUUCAGCACAGACGAAGCGCAAGUGACGGUAGGUGCAGAAGAAGGACCGGCCAACUACGUG
rnacentral:rRNA from 1 species